rnacentral:sRNA from 1 species
UUGAAGUGUCACAAUCACGACUUAAAAAGU